GAUGAACGCUGGCGGCGUGCCUAAUACAUGCAAGUCGAACGAGGUGCUUGAGUAGCAAUACGAGAGUAUCCUAGUGGCGAACGGGUGAGUAACGCGUUGGUGACCUACCCCAAAGUGUGGGAUAACAGUCCGAAAGGAUUGCUAAUACCGCAUGUGGUCCUCGGGUUUAGAAACCGAUGACGAAAGCAGCAAUGCGCUUUGGGAGGGACCUGCGUCCCAUCAGCUAGNGGUGAGGUAACGGCUCACCAAGGCGACGACGGGUAGGGGACCUGAGAGGGUGACCCCCCACAAUGGAACUGAAACACGGUCCAUACACCUACGGGUGGCAGCAGUAGGGAAUAUUGCACAAUGGGCGAAAGCCUGAUGCAGCAACGCCGCGUGCAUGAU
rnacentral:rRNA from 1 species